rnacentral:rRNA from 1 species
AUGGCGAAAAGGAGCCUUGGAAUUCUCUUAACUGAAUAUUUAGAAAAAAAAGAAGGAAAAGAUUCUAUUGAGACAGUUAUGAAUUUGAUUGAGUUUCCCUUUCUUGACCAAACAAGUUCCAAUUCUGUUAUUUCAACUACACCAAAUGAUCUUUCGAAUUGGUCAAGAAUCUCCAGAUUAUGGCCCCUUCUAUACGGUACCAGUUGUUGUUUCAUUGAAUUUGCUUCAUUAAUAGGCUCACGAUUCGACUUUGAUCAUUAUGGAUUGGUACCAAGAUCAAGUCCUAGGCAAGCAGACCUAAUUUUAACAGCCGGUACAGUAACAAUGAAAAUGGCUCCCUCUUUAGUGAGAUUAUACGAGCAAAUGCCUGAACCAAAGUAA